rnacentral:rRNA from 1 species
AAUGAACGCUGGCGGCAGGCCUAACACAUGCAAGUCGAACGAGUGGCGGACGGGUGAGUAAUGUCUGGGAAACUGCGCGAUGGAGGGGGAUAACUACUGGAAACGGUAGCUAAUACCGCAUACCAUCGGAUGUGCCCAGAUGGGAUUAGCUAGUAGGUGGGGUAACGGCUCACCUAGGCGACGAUCCCUAGCUGGUCUGAGAGGAUGACCAGCCACACUGGAACUGAGACACGGUCCAGACUCCUACGGGGGGCAGCAGGGGGGAAUAUUGCGCAAUGGGCACAAGCCUGAGGCAGCCAUGCCGCGUGUAUGAAGAAGGCCUUCGGGUUGUAAAGUACUUUCAGCGAGGAGUCGUUACUCGCAGAAGAAGCACCGGCUAACUCCGUGCCAGCAGCCGCGGUAAUAC